UAGGGAAUCUUGCACAAUGGGGGAAACCCUGAUGCAGCGACGCCGCGUGAACGAAGAAGGUAUUCGUAUCGUAAAGUUCUGUCCUAUGGGAAGAUAAUGACAGUACCAUAGAAGAAAGCUCCGGCUAAAUACGUGCCAGCAGCCGCGGUAAUACGUAUGGAGCGAGCGUUGUCCGGAAUUAUUGGGCGUAAAGGGUACGCAGGCGGUUUAAUAAGUCGAAUGUUAAAGAUCGGGGCUCAACCCCGUAAAGCAUUGGAAACUGAUAAACUUGAGUAGUGGAGAGGAAAGUGGAAUUCCUAGUGUAGUGGUGAAAUACGUAGAUAUUAGGAGGAAUACCAGUAGCGAAGGCGACUUUCUGGACACAAACUGACGCUGAGGUACGAAAGCGUGGGGAGCAAACAGG
rnacentral:rRNA from 1 species